CUCCCGCAACCGCAAUCGCAACCGCUGCGGUUACACCAGUCAGACCCUUAGUUACAAAAAAAAACUACAUUAUCAUUUCUUUUUCUCAUCAGCUAUAUUUGUCUAUAGUUUUUCUGUCUUUUUCUCUCACAUUUUAUAUCUUUUAUACACAUGGAUUAAUUUUUGAAUAACUUAACUGUAGCAGUGCAUAACCGUCUUGUUAAAAAUUUCUUGAAAAAACUUUUGAACAAGAAACAUCAUUAGCCAAUGAAAGUUGAUUUAAGAUGUUCUGUGAAUUUAUCAAUGUCUUAAAUUCUUAGAUUGUAAAGAUAGAGAUUAUAAUCCUUAACAUGUGAUAAUGUAGAUAGUUUAAUUGUCUUCUUUUCACAGAAAAAAAACAGCGUGUAAAACUAUUGAAGAACAGAACAUCAUCUAUUACUAUAAAAUAGAGUUGGUUCUCUCCUACUGACACAUCAGCGUCCUGGUCAGAAAUUCAGUGUCUGUCGUCUCAACACGUGUCCGCUGUGUGCUAAACGCACCGUUCCAUUUAUUGCUUUCCUUCAUUCGUAUGGAUUCUUACUUUUGUUGGGCCGUGUCACCUCUCUGUCUAGCCCACUAGCUUUUCCUUGAUGAAACGCACCAUUUCUUUAUCACGUGUUCUUCUUUUUUCGUCUCCAGCUCUAAUAGCGAUUAGGGUUCUGAAAACGAUCUCUCAUCUUCUUUCUUACAGUCUGGAACGGUACAAGUAACCGAGAUAUCCACUUUAACCUUCCAUUAAUGAUCCACGAUCUAUUCAAUGCGAGUUUUGUUAUGCAAGGCGAUGGAAUUCGGCUAUAAAAAGUUCAUGACUCAGGAGGAUGAUAAAGCUUAGGCUCUGGAUGAUGAGAUGGCUGUGAAAGAGCCUGAGUUAGGAAAGAAACAGAACUGGAAUCAGAGUAUGAAAAACAGAAACAAUGAGAGACAUUAGAUAUCAGUGAGAGGGAGAAAUAGAAACAGGAACAGUUUUAAAGAGGGAGUCAACUGAGACAAAGAGGGAUCACAUAGAAGAAUAAGAAGAAGAGACCCAGGAGAGAUCAGAGAAGCUGCGAGACUGAGAAUGAUACAAGAAAAGGCACUUCAUCUUGAUGGAUCUUAGAAAGGACCUGAUGCUACACAUGCAAGGUCUCUUUUGUUUGACACCUGAUACUAUCUAUGCAAUGCACAUUAAUCUAAAUGCUUCUCAAUGUCUGGAUUGGGAUAGUGUAUCAGGGUAAAAUAUCAAUGAAAGCUACGUUAAAACAGCAGCAAGCAAGUAAAUGGAGAGACUCCAUAAAACGUUUCUCUCAUCUGUACUCAACUUUUUAUCAAUAUCAAUGAAAGCUUAUAUUUUCUC